CGAACGGGUGAGUAACGCGUGAGGAACCUGCCUCAAAGAGGGGGACAACAGUUGGAAACGACUGCUAAUACCGCAUAAGCCCACAGCUCGGCAUCGAGCAGAGGGAAAAGGAGUGAUCCGCUUUGAGAUGGCCUCGCGUCCGAUUAGCUAGUUGGCGGGGUAACGGCCCACCAAGGCGACGAUCAGUAGCCGGACUGAGAGGUUGAACGGCCACAUUGGGACUGAGACACGGCCCAGACUCCUACGGGAGGCAGCAUG
rnacentral:rRNA from 1 species